UACGGGGGGGGGCAAGCGUUGUUCGGAAUUACUGGGCGUAAAGGGCUCGUAGGCGGCCAACUAAGUCAGACGUGAAAUCCCUCGGCUUAACCGGGGGAACUGCAUCUGAUACUGGAUGGCUUGAAUUCGGGAGAGGGAUGCAGAAUUCCAGGUGUAGCGGUGAAAUGCGUAGAUAUCUGGAGGAACACCGGUGGCGAAGGCGGCAUCCUGGACCGACACUGACGCUGAGGAGCGAAAGCCAGGGGAGCAAACGGG
rnacentral:rRNA from 1 species